rnacentral:rRNA from 1 species
ACUCCUACGGGAGGCAGCAGUGGGGAAUAUUGCACAAUGGGCGCAAGCCUGAUGCAGCCAUGCCGCGUGUAUGAAGAAGGCCUUCGGGUUGUAAAGUACUUUCAGCAGUGAGGAAGGUGGGUAUGUUAAUAGCAUACUCAUUUGACGUUAGCUGCAGAAGAAGCACCGGCUAACUCCGUGCCAGCAGCCGCGGUAAUACGGAGGGUGCGAGCGUUAAUCGGAAUUACUGGGCGUAAAGCGCAUGCAGGUGGUUUGUUAAGUCAGAUGUGAAAGCCCGGGGCUCAACCUCGGAAUUGCAUUUGAAACUGGCAAACUAGAGUACUGUAGAGGGGGGUAGAAUUUCAGGUGUAGCGGUGAAAUGCGUAGAGAUCUGAAGGAAUACCGGUGGCGAAGGCGGCCCCCUGGACAGAUACUGACACUCAGAUGCGAAAGCGUGGGGAGCAAACAGGAUUAGCUACCCUGUAGGCUCUGC